rnacentral:rRNA from 1 species
GAUGAACGCUAGCGACAGGCUUAACACAUGCAAGUCGAGGGGCAGCAUAAAAGUAGCAAUACUUUGGUGGCGACCGGCGCACGGGUGAGUAACGCGUAUGCAACCUACCUAUCAGAGGGGAAUAACCCGGCGAAAGUCGGACUAAUACCGCAUAAAACAGGGGCACCGCAUGGUGAUAUUUGUUAAAGAAAUUCGCUGAUAGAUGGGCAUGCGUUCCAUUAGGUAGUUGGUGAGGUAACGGCUCACCAAGCCGACGAUGGAUAGGGGAACUGAGAGGUUGGUCCCCCACACUGGUACUGAGACACGGACCAGACUCCUACGGGAGGCAGCAGUGAGGAAUAUUGGUCAAUGGGCGGGAGCCUGAACCAGCCAAGUCGCGUGAAGGAAGAAGGAUCUAUGGUUCGUAAACUUCUUUUGCAGGGGAAUAAAGUGCAGGACGUGUCCUGUUUUGUAUGUACCCUGAGAAUAAGGAUCGGCUAACUCCGUGCCAGCCGCCGCAGUAA